AGAAUGCAGUGGAAUUGAUGACGUAUGAUUUCCAAGACUAGAUCCUAAAAGGCAUUACAACUACUGCCUUGGUCUCUUGGAUCACUUGUUCUAGCGGGAGCAAGCCAUCAUGUCAAGAGAAUACUCAUGUAGGCCUGCGGAGAGAUCUAUAUGAAAAGAAACUGUGGUUCUCAGCCAAUAGCCAGCACCAACUUGUUGGUCCUGGAAUAAGCCACAUUUGGAAGUAGGUCCUAUAGCUCCAGUCAAGUCUUCUGAUAACUGCAGGCCAAUAGACAUUGAGGCACAACUACCAGCUGAGCCACUACUGAACUCCUAAUUCACCAAACUGAAAAAAAGAAAAUGAAGGGGCACCUUUUAUUCCUGUAUUAUCUUAACACAAUUUCCCUAUUAUGUUAUGUGGAAUUGAAAUACAUCUGCCCAGAGAAAAUUGAAGAAAAUGCAAAACUCAUUAUAAAGAAUGUGAAUAUUAAAAACUGGAAUAAUGAUGCUAACCUGGAACUGCAGAAACCAUGGAUCCCAUCAUCAUUAAUUUCCUGUGUUUUGAAUAGGGCAGCUUGUGGGAGGUGUAAAUGAAGCUGCUUAAGAAGCUUAAUGUGACACCCGGCGGAUGUUUCAAUCUCAGAUUCAUAAAAUAACUGGGC